GUUAUCCGGAUUUACUGGGUGUAAAGGGAGCGUAGACGGCACUGCAAGUCUGGAGUGAAACGGCCCGGGGCUCAACCCCCGGGGACUGCUUUGGAAACUGUGGUGCUAGAGUGCAGGAGAGGUAAGUGGAAUUCCUAGUGUAGCGGUGAAAUGCGUAGAUAUUAGGAGGAACACCAGUGGCGAAGGCGGCUUACUGGACUGUAACUGACGUUGAGGCUCGAAAGCGUGGGGAGC
rnacentral:rRNA from 1 species